rnacentral:rRNA from 1 species
UGGGGAAUAUUGGACAAUGGGGGCAACCCUGAUCCAGCCAUGCCGCGUGAGUGUAGAAGGCCUUAGGGUUGUAAAGCUCUUUCAGUCGUGACGAUGAUGACGGUAGCGACAGAAGAAGCCCCGGCUAACUCCGUGCCAGCAGCCGCGGUAAUACGGAGGGGGCAAGCGUUGUUCGGAUUUACUGGGCGUAAAGGGCGCGUAGGCGGGGUAUCAAGUUAGGGGUGAAAGCCCGGGGCUCAACCUCGGAACUGCCUUUAAAACUGAUACUCUAGAGUCCGGAAGAGGGUCGCGGAAUUCCCAGUGUAGAGGUGAAAUGCGUAGAGAUUGGAAAGAACACCAGUGGCGAAGGCGCUCUACUGGACCGUAACUGACACUCAGGGACGAAAGCGAGGGGAGCGAAAGGGAUUAGAUACCCGCGUAGUCC